GACACUCACAUCCACAGAUACACGCACACACACUGACACCCACAGAUACAUCCACACACUGACACUCACAAAUACACACAAACACAAGCACUCACAUCCACAGAGACAUGCACACAUACAAAUAUCUAUCUUCAUGUGGGCCCUGGGUUGGAUACACAGGCAUUGUACCUCUGUAAUGAGGGAUGGUCCUGGGACAUAUUUUUGCUUGGACAGGAGCUCAAAACAUUGUAUUGUCCUGGCCAAUGUGGGGCAGUUGGUAACUAUGCAUCCAAAAUAAAGUUGGCAGACACAGCAUGUAUAGAAUGCCAUGCUCAAACGCAC